UACGAAGGGGGCUAGCGUUGUUCGGAUUUACUGGGCGUAAAGCGCACGUAGGCGGAUUGUUAAGUCAGGGGUGAAAUCCUGGAGCUCAACUCCAGAACUGCCUUUGAUACUGGCAAUCUUGAGUCCGGAAGAGGUGAGUGGAACUCCUAGUGUAGAGGUGGAAUUCGUAGAUAUUAGGAAGAACACCAGGGGCGAAGGCGGCUCACUGGUCCGGUACUGACGCUGAGGUGCGAAAGCGUGGGGAGCAAACAGG
rnacentral:rRNA from 1 species